AACGAACGCUGGCGGCAGGCCUAACACAUGCAAGUCGAGCGCCCCGCAAGGGGAGCGGCGGACGGGUGAGUAACGCGUGGGAACGUACCCUUUGCUACGGAAUAGCCUCGGGAAACUGGGAGUAAUACCGUAUGUGCCCUUCGGGGGAAAGAUUUAUCGGCAAAGGAUCGGCCCGCGUUGGAUUAGGUAGUUGGUGGGGUAAUGGCCUACCAAGCCGACGAUCCAUAGCUGGUUUGAGAGGAUGAUCAGCCACACUGGGACUGAGACACGGCCCAGACUCCUACGGGAGGCAGCAGUGGGGAAUCUUAGACAAUGGGCGCAAGCCUGAUCUAGCCAUGCCGCGUGAGCGAUGAAGGCCUUAGGGUUGUAAAGCUCUUUCAGUGGGGAAGAUAAUGACUGUACCCACAGAAGAAGCCCCGGCUAACUCCGUGCCAGCAGCGCGGUAAUGUAGACGUCU
rnacentral:rRNA from 1 species